GUGGAUUAGAUACCCUGGUAGUCCACGCCGUAAACGAUGUUCACUAGGUGUUGGGGGUAUUGACCCCCUCAGUGCCGGAGCUAACGCGUUAAGUGAACCGCCUGGGGAGUACGGUCGCAAGACUAAAACUCAAAGGAAUUGACGGGGGCCCGCACAAGCGGUGGAGCAUGUGGUUUAAUUCGAUGCAACGCGAAGAACCUUACCUGGGCUUGACAUCCACGGAACCUGCUGGAAACAGUAGGGUGCCCUUCGGGGAGCCGUGAGACAGGUGCUGCAUGGCCGUCGACAACU
rnacentral:rRNA from 1 species